rnacentral:rRNA from 1 species
GACGAACGCUGGCGGCGUGCUUAACACAUGCAAGUCGAACGGAAAGGCCCCUUUGGGGGUACUCGAGUGGCGAACGGGUGAGUAACACGUGAGUAACCUGCCCUUGACUUCGGGAUAACUUCAGGAAACUGGGGCUAAUACCGGAUAGGAAUCCUUGCUGCAUGGUGGGGGUUGGAAAGCUUCGGCGGUUUUGGAUGGACUCGCGGCUUAUCAGCUUGUUGGUGGGGUAGUGGCUUACCAAGGCUUUGACGGGUAGCCGGCCUGAGAGGGCGACCGGCCACAUUGGGACUGAGAUACGGCCCAGACCCCUACGGGGGGCAGCGGGGGGGAAUAUUGCACAGUGGGCGGAAGCCUGAGGCAGCAACGCCGGGGGCGGGAUGACGGCCUUCGGGUUUUAAACCGUUUUCAGCAGGGGGGAAGCUUGUGGUGAGGGGACCUGCAAAAGAAGCACCGGCUAACUACGU